rnacentral:lncRNA from 1 species
AUCUACUUGGAUUUUUGCCAAGGCAUUUGAUACGGUUCCUCACAAUAGGUUAGUCUUCAAACUAAAAGAAAUUGGUCUAGAUGAAUAUUCUUGUUCUUGGGUAGAACAUUGGCUUAAGGAUAGAGUACAACGAGUUGUAAUUAAUGGUAAAUUUUCAGGCUGGACAAAAGUGGUAAGUGGUGUCCCUCGGGGUUCUGUUUUGGGACCACUUUUAUUUAACAUAUUUAUAAAUGAUCUUGAAAU